rnacentral:lncRNA from 1 species
GAGCUAGGAUCGUCUCUCCUCUCGUUCUUCAAGAGGUAAGAGUAGAUCCAUAGUUCAUUUCAUGUUUUAAGCAAGUUUUAUGAAGUUUCUUGAGGUAGAAAUGCAUGUGUAGGUUUAUGAUGAGUUUUUGGUUAAAUGUGUGUUUAUGAACAAUGUAUGUUGAAUAUGCAUGUUUGAUGUGUUUUGGUUGGGGUUUAAGUUAGUUUGAGACCCCUAUGUGCUUGUUGGCUUGAGUUUGCUUGUUGUAGAAUAGGUAAAUGCAUGUUGAAUGAG